rnacentral:sRNA from 1 species
UGGUCUGCCUCAGGGGCUGAAGUCCUCUUUUUUAUGCACUGAGUGGGAACAGCCCAGGGAGUGACGGAGCUGGUUUUCUUCAAACCACUCCCAGACAGUGGCUGGAGCCAGGAAAGCGGCCCACACCUUUCCGAGAUGAGCACUAGGCUGUCUCCGAUGCCCAGUUCACCUUUCGUUUCA